rnacentral:rRNA from 1 species
AGAGCUUGCUCUUAUGAAGUUAGCGGCGGACGGGUGAGUAACACGUGGGUAACCUGCCCAUAAGACUGGGAUAACUCCGGGAAACCGGGGCUAAUACCGGAUAACAUUUUGAACCGCAUGGUUCGAAAUUGAAAGGCGGCUUCGGCUGUCACUUAUGGAUGGACCCGCGUCGCAUUAGCUAGUUGGUGAGGUAACGGCUCACCAAGGCAACGAUGCGUAGCCGACCUGAGAGGGUGAUCGGCCACACUGGGACUGAGACACGGCCCAGACUCCUACGGGAGGCAGCAGUAGGGAAUCUUCCGCAAUGGACGAAAGUCUGACGGAGCAACGCCGCGUGAGUGAUGAAGGCUUUCGGGUCGUAAAACUCUGUUGUUAGGGAAGAACAAGUGCUAGUUGAAUAAGCUGGCACCUUGACGGUACCUAACCAGAAAGCCACGGCUAACUACGUGCCAGCAGCCGCGGUAAUACGUAGGUGGCAAG